GCAGUGGGGAAUAUUGCGCAAUGGGCGAAAGCCUGACGCAGCGACGCCGCGUGGUGGAUGACGGCCUUCGGGUUGUAAACCUCUUUUACCACCAACGCAGGCUCCCAGUUCUCUGGGGGUUGACGGUAGGUGGGGAAUAAGGACCGGCUAACUACGUGCCAGCAGCCGCGGUAAUACGUAGGGUCCGAGCGUUGUCCGGAAUUAUUGGGCGUAAAGAGCUCGUAGGCGGCGUGUCGCGUCUGCUGUGAAAGACCGGGGCUUAACUCCGGUUCUGCAGUGGAUACGGGCAUGCUAGAGGUAGGUAGGGGAGACUGGAAUUCCUGGUGUAGCGGUGAAAUGCGCAGAUAUCAGGAGGAACACCGGUGGCGAAGGCGGGUCUCUGGGCCUUACCUGACGCUGAGGAGCGAAAGCAUGGGGAGCGAACAGGAUUAGAUACCCUGGUAGUACAUGCCGUAAACGUUGGGCGCUAGGUGUGGGGACUUUACACGGUUUCCGCACCGUAGCUAACGCAUUAAGCGCCCCGCCUGGGGAGUACGGCCGCAAGGCUAAAACUCAAAGGAAUUGACGGGGGCCCGCACAAGCGGCGGAGCAUGUUGCUUAAUUCGACGCAACGCGAAGAACCUUACCAAGGUUUGACAUCACCCGUGGACUCGCAGAGAUGUGAGGUCAUUUAGUUGGCGAGUGACAGGUGGUGCAUGGCUGUCGUCAGCUCGUGUCGUGAGAUGUUGGGUUAAGUCUCGCAACGAGCGCAACCCUUGUUCCAUGUUGCCAGCACGUAAUGGUGGGGACUCAUGGGAGACUGCCGGGGUCAACUCGGAGGAAGGUGGGGAUGACGUCAAGUCAUCAUGCCCCUUAUGUCUUGGGCUGCAAACAUGCUACAAUGGCCGGUACAAUGGGCGUGCGAUACUGUAAGGUGGAGCGA
rnacentral:rRNA from 1 species